rnacentral:rRNA from 1 species
GCGGACGGGUGAGUAACGCGUGGGUAACCUGCCCUGUACAGGGGGAGUAACAGUCAGAAAUGACUGCUAAUACCGCAUAAGACCACAGCACCGCAUGGUGCAGGGGUAAAAAACUCCGGUGGUACAGGAUGGACCCGCGUCUGAUUAGCUGGUUGGUGAGGUAACGGCUCACCAAGGCGACGAUCAGUAGCCGGCUUGAGAGAGUGAACGGCCACAUUGGGACUGAGACACGGCCCAAACUCCUACGGGAGGCAGCAUG